rnacentral:rRNA from 1 species
UAGGGAAUAUUAGUAAUGGGCGAAAGCCUGAUCUAGCAACACCGCGUGUGCGAAGAAGGCCUUCGGGUCGUAAAGCACUUUUUGGAAGGAAUAGGAAGGAAUGUACUUCCAGAAUAAGUCUCGGCUAACUACGUGCCAGCAGCCGCGGUAACACGUAGGAGGCAAACGUUAUCCGGAUUUACUGGGCGUAAAGCGCGUGUAGGUGGUACUGUAAGUAGGGCGUGAAAGCUCCUGGCUCAACUGGGAGAGGCCGUUCUAAACUACAGAACUAGAGGAUGGUAGAGGGAGGUGGAAUUCCAGGUGUAGCGGUGGAAUGCGCAGAUAUCUGGAGGAACACCGGUGGCGAAGGCGGCCUCCUGGACCAUUCCUGACACUCAGACGCGAAAGCUAGGGUAGCAAACG